GAUGAACGCUAGCGGCAGGCUUAACACAUGCAAGUCGAGGGGUAUAGUUGUUCGGAAUUAGAGACCGGCGCACGGGUGCGUAACGCGUAUGCAAUCUACCUUUCACAGAGGGAUAGCCCCAGAGAAAUUUGGAUUAAUACCUCAUAGUAUAGCAGUUUCGCAUGAAACCACUAUUAAAGUCACAACGGUGAAAGAUGAGCAUGCGUCCCAUUAGCUAGUUGGUAAGGUAACGGCUUACCAAGGCAACGAUGGGUAGGGGUCCUGAGAGGGAGAUCCCCCACACUGGUACUGAGACACGGACCAGACUCCUACGGGAGGCAGCAGUGAGGAAUAUUGGACAAUGGGCGCAAGCCUGAUCCAGCCAUGCCGCGUGCAGGGAUGACGGUCCUAUGGAUUGUAAACUGCUUUUGUACGGGAAGAAACACUCCUACGUGUAGGAGCUUGACGGUACCGUAAGAAUAAGGNUCGGCUAACUCCGUGCCAGCAGCCGACGG
rnacentral:rRNA from 1 species